GGCCUUCUGCUGAUCGUUUCCUACAUCCUGCCGCCGUGCUUCCUCGUCUUUGCGUCGAAGACACGUCUCUUCUUCCUCCGGUUCCUCUUUCUCCUCCUCCUCCUCUCUCUUCGCUUUGGGAGAUGUCUUCCAUGGCGAUCUGCUCGGUGGUUCUUUCUGACAUCGUAGCUACGAUCGUGGCACAAGCAGCGGUACGGAACGAUUGUCGUGCGUCUCGACGGGGUGGAGGAUGAAUAAUUCCUUGGGAGGGUUGUUGGUGAAAUUCUCGUACGGGAGCUUUUCCGCUUCUCUGGAUUGCGUCCGUGUCUUUCUUCGUGAAAGAUGACCAGUCGAUCAUUGGGGUUCACGAGGAGUCCUGCGUGUGACUGUACCGUGCACUUGAGAGGGUGAGAUCUUCCUAUAGUUGAAAUUUCUGUGGAUAGAAAAAAGUAUGGUGGAUGUUUUCUAUUGGCAUGGGAUGAUGAGCUUGGAAGGCCAUUGAAGAGGCUGUAGUUGGUUUGUAAGGAGAAGGUGGCCCUUUGCGAGGGCGAAGAUUGGUUGUGCUGAAAGAGGCUGUGCCUUAGCGGGUGCGCUUGCGGGCCGGCCAAAGUACUUAAUAAAAGCUAUCCUUUUUUGGGUUGUGGGGAGGGUUUCGCAGAGCGGUUUUGCUCGGGUCCCUCCCCUGUGUCGGUGUGUCCUUGUUCCUUUUUUCUUUCUCUUUCUUUCCUCCACUUCCACCCGUCUUUUCUCUUUCUCGUGGAUCGUCAACCGACAUGCACACUUAGCGACGAUGGCGGACUCAAUUAUCCAUGCAACCCUCCUCAACGUGGCACAUCAGGUAUGAGUAGUUAAGUGGUUUUAUUACGCCGUUUUCAUAUGACCAAUUUUAAUCCCUGAAAAUCGAUAUGCAAGGUAGUGAGCAGUUGGUUCGUUUCUUUCCUGUUUACAACAUAACAUGGAAAUCUCAAGUUCCGGUGCAUCCAAAGUUGCAUAAGCAGUAGGCUCGUCAUUUUGGACUUUGUUCUUGAUAUUGCCAUAUAAUACUGCGCUUAAAGAAGCUGCAGCUCAUCCAAUUUUAAUAGUUUUUCCUUACCAUGUUAUAUGAAUCUUAAACAAGUUUAGGUUUGCAAAUUCCUCUAGUUGUUGCACCUUUAUUCUUGAAGGCGACAUUCAGACACUGCAAAUUGAUUAGCCAACAUAAACAUUCAGACCUUGCAAAUUGAUUAGCCAACAUAAUUUCUCCCCCCAUACUGCAAUACAUGGUACGUUCUUUUGUUGAAAUUUGCUAACAGAUUGCCGAUUGAUUAAUACUCCUUUUGGGAAGAUGUAGUUUGGAGAUCUCUGUUAAAAUUGAGAACGUCUUUACAUUUCGAUGCAAGAUUUGUUCAAUUCAAUUUUAGCAUGCUACGUCAAUCUGGGUGGCCUGUUGCCGUUCUGUCUUAUCAUUAAGUUGUUGGAAGAGAGUAGUUGAAGGCUAGUUCCCAUUUUCAUAAGAAUGUAUUGUCAAAGCUUCAGUGUAUCGUCGGAGUGGAUAGUCUGGAAUGGUGUCGAGUCUUCUGUAUCCUUGUAUUAAUAGAUGUAUGAGUCUGAAGAUGUGGGCGGCUGCAUUCUGGAUGAUAUCUGGAGCGGUUCUUCUCCAAAGAUUUCAAUUGGUGGACUUUGCUGCUGUCUUUGAACGGACUUUUUCGUGGAACAAGUUUCCUAUUGGAAUUUGUGGAGGUUGAAAAGAUGCUGCGGCGGACACUCGAGCUGAACCCGCGUUGGUGAUUGAAGAGAAGAUGCUGCUCGUGCUGGUGAUUGUUUGGGCUGAGAAUUGGUUUUUGGCUUUGUAAGUCCUUUAAGCUGAAGUCAUACCCCUAUGAUCUUUUCCAUUUCAUGGGCGACUGCACCGCAUCAAGUGGCGUUCCUGUGAGAAAUCGGAUGCUUUCGCUGGGAGAGUUCUUCUAUCGAUCGCACGUCGACUCUUUUGUGCAAGAGUCUUGCUUCAGAUUUUUUAGAAUCUCAUAUUGCUGCUCGAUUGUUGUUGCUUCGCUCGCCUAAGUCGUGGUGGAUUCGUCUGUACUCAGAUUCCUUUUUGCUAGAGUACGCUUUGUUGAAAGGAACUGCCUUUUUGUAUACGUGUUUUAUGUGUGUGACCAUUUUAUUGAUACAGCUUUGUGAAGGUUCGUUUAUUUCAGGAUUAUUUGAAUAUUAUUUUGUUCUGUUUAGAGAUCAACUGUAAUCUUGAUCUCUAGUUUCCGGAGCUGUUUUGCAGAGGUGAGCAGGGCGCCAUAUUUCUUGCCUUGGCCGUUGAAUGCACGGAAAGGUGGUAAUAAAUCAUGCUUGAACAUUGCCCCUUGUUUUUUGGAAUUUACACUUGGAUCUUUAGCUCAAAUUUGGUAGAGCGCUCGAGUCUGUCAUUCAUGGGUUCGUCUCCUUGCCACAAUUCGUCGCUUUAAAAAAGAUUCAUGCGUCUUAAGUUUGUCUUUUCGAUUGCUAAGAAAUGAUCCAUCCACAACCUAGGCUGUCAUCGAAUGUUGAUUCAGGUCCGUCUUUUUUGUGACGGGUGAACGACCGUUGGAGAACUAUAGAUUUGGUUAAACGGUGUACCGUGAGGCUCUCUACUACGGUUUUUAGCCGAGCGUCAGUUCGGAAAGGUCCUGAAAACUUGUCCGAGUCUCCUCUUGGAAAAGUUGGUUGUAUAAAAAGUUGCAAGGACAACUUUAUCAACUGGAACAAGCAGUCGUUUUCUUCCAAAUACAUUUAAGAAAAACUGGAUUUGUGUGACCAAUUUUUGACCCAUUUUCUAUUUAAAAAACACGUAAAGCAUCUUUUUGGUAGUUUUCUCUGAAAUUUGAAGGCUGAUUUACAACUUUAUGGGGGAGAAUGAACAUACCAACAAAUCCCGGUUUGAUGGUGAAAUGCUAUUUUGUGUCAAAAUGGUUGUAACUUUUAGAUUAAUGUUGUAAAAUGACCGUUUAAUUUAUGGUGAACUUUUUGAGUGUGAAAUUGGUUUGCGGAAAAAAAAAGGGUUUCAUUUAGGGUGGGAAAAACCUGAAUUGAAAUUUGGAUCUUGUCUAACGGGGGUUCGGUUGGUGUAAAAAUUUUCUCAACUGGGCACGAGUCUUCCUAUGCUAUGUUUUCAAUUUGUUUUUGGUUGUUGUGGCCGGGGCUAUCACAUGCAUACGGAACCUGAGAGGACGGUGGUUCGAGUCCGCCAAGAUCCUUUUUAGUUUUUACUGUUUUUCUUUCGCUCUGGCAUUAAUGAACCGUGCUGGAUCUCCACUCGGUGGAUGUUGAUGGUUUUAUUAUUGCCUAUGCACUUGGGUUUUGACUCCUAUAGAUGCAGUGGCAUGAAACUUUUGGAUCCUCGUCGACGCCCUUUUUCUCUUCCAGGUUCUUGCUAAGCGAGACAUGCCUGUAUAUGCAGUACCUGAAACGAUGGGAUGCUCUUGGACGCGCUUGCUCUCUUCAGCUUCCUGCCAUGCGAUAGAUACGUGAAGGGAACGUGAAAGGUUCUGUUGGCCGACCUCUGAUUUGAGUUUUGAUAUGAUUUGUAUGUGAAAGAAUUUGGCAGAUCGAGGUAUAUAAAUAAGACGGGUGUUUGCUUUUCAUAUGCUUGUCCUUCUAAUGUUGAUAGCUUCACAUUGUAACGUAACUUUGCUCAUGGUCCUGUCGACUUUUGAUUUCGUAACAAUUAUCCUGUUUAUUAUCAGCUUUUCUUUUUCCCAUCGUACUGUUGACAGUAUGUUAAAUGCCCUUUCGUUAGCUUUUACGUUUUAAAUUCGAAGGAGUGGUGAUGGUGGGGCAGGUGGUUUCGUUUAAUGGAAAGGUCUAAGAACUUUUUUAAAAUUUAAAAUAAGCGCAAUUCCCACUCUUUUGGCAAUGAUAUUUAUGAAAGCGUGUUGGGUUCAAUUUUUAACUCACUUUACGUUAUGCAAACCACCUGUUAUUCUUAUACCGUGGGUGAGAUGUUCUUCUCCUUCUAUUAAAACAACGGGAUGCUCUUUUUUAUGUGUAAACCACUUGCACUUUGGUGCCGUGGGCGAUGCUUCCUUGGUUUCUAAGGAAACUGUGGUCUGCAAUUUGAUUUUGUUUUUUCAGAACCACUGUUUUCUUUUUUAUUGGCCGACAGACCAAUUCCCACCAAAGGAAUUGUGGUCUUGGCUUACUCGAUGACGAACUUCUAUGCCACGUUUUUCCUUUUUGUUGUAAAAGAAACUCUGUCGAAUCGCAUUAUUUUUUCUUAAAGUGGCUUGUUUUCUUUUUCAAUUGAUGGGUUGCUCCAUGUCUUCAGUUUGCCGAAUAGAUUGCAAAGCCAGUUCUUUGUUUGAAACUUUUAGGUUCAACACUUGUGUGUGGUUGGACAAUUGUUCGACCUAAUUCAAGUGCAAAUUCGUAUUGAAUUUGAAAUCCAACUAUCAGUCGAUUUCAUGUUUAGUUACCAAAUUUGAGUAAAUAGGUUCAAAAUCAAGUAAAUAUAUCUAACUAUUUUCAAAUAAAUAAGGUUCGACUUGGAGGGCUGAAGUGGAUGGCCCAGCCAAUGGGCAGACAUGGAUGAAUGGAGUGCCUUAUUCCUGAUAAAGGAGGAUGUUAUAGCGGCGAAGCUGAUGCUGAAAGGUAUUGCCCAACCAAUGGACGGAAACGGAUGAAAUGAAGUGCCUUCUUGCAAAUAAAGGAGGAUGAUGUAGAGGCAAAGCAGGUGCUGAACUAUAGAGCCCACUGAUCACAGAUAUGAGAACAGACUCAAUGCUGAUUUCUCUCAGGCUUGUAAUGGAAAGGCGGCAAAGAUUUUUCUAUAGAGGAGGGGCAACAGCGUGUUUGCUAUGGGGCGUUACCCUUGUUCUAUUCAUGUCUUUUCUCUUUUUGUUGACAUUCUUGUUGUACAUGCUAUUGUUCGGUAAGAAAGGCAGGGAGCUAUCUACGAGCGCCCUUUUAUUGGAAGUCCGUCUGUAUCUCUGCUCGCAUGGAUCGAUGCUUGAAUUUAAAACUUUGCAACAGAGUUCAUCUUGUUCUGA